rnacentral:rRNA from 1 species
GACAGAGGGUGCAGACGUUGUUCGGAAUUACUGGGCAUAAAGAGCACGUAGGUGGUUCGCUAAGUUACGUGUGAAAUCCCCCGGCUCAACCGGGGAAUUGCGCGUGAUACUGGCGGACUCGAGGCGGGUAGGGGUGAGCGGAACUCCAGGUGGAGCGGUGAAAUGCGUAGAUAUCUGGAGGAACACCGGUGGCGAAAGCGGCUCACUGGACCCGAUCUGACACUGAGGUGCGAAAGCUAGGGUAGCAAACGGG